rnacentral:rRNA from 1 species
UACGUAGGUGGCAAGCGUUAUCCGGAUUUAUUGGGCGUAAAGGGAACGCAGGCGGUCUUUUAAGUCUGAUGUGAAAGCCUUCGGCUUAACCGGAGUAGUGCAUUGGAAACUGGGAGACUUGAGUGCAGAAGAGGAGAGUGGAACUCCAUGUGUAGCGAUGAAAUGUGUAGAUAUAUGGAAGAACACCAGUGGCGAAAGCGGCUCUCUGGUCUGUAACUGACGCUGAGGUUCGAAAGCGUGGGUAGCAAACAGG